rnacentral:rRNA from 1 species
GAUACGCGAGGAACCUUACCUGGGCUCAAAUGUAUGUUGACGUAUUCUGAAAGGGAUACUUCUUCGGACAAUAUACAAGGUGCUGCAUGGUUGUCGUCAGCUCGUGCCGUGAGGUGUCGGGUUAAGUCCCGCAACGAGCGCAACCCCUAUCAUCUGUUGCCAGCAUUUAAGGUGGGGACUCAGAUGAGGCUGCCGGUGACAAACCGGAGGAAGGUGGGGACGACGUCAAGUCAUCAUGGCCCUUAUGUCCUGGGCUACACACGUGCUACAAUGGCCGGUACAGAGUGAAGCGAAACCGCGAGGUGAAGCAAAACGCAGAAAGCCGGUCUCAGUACGGAUUGGAGUCUGAAACUCGACUUCAUGAAGUUGGAAUCGCUAGUAAUCGCGCAUCAGCCAUGGCGCGGUGAAUACGUUCCCGGGCCUU